GUGGCACAUGCCUGUAGUCCCAGUACUUGGGAGACUGAGGUGGGAGGAUUGCUUGAGCCCAGGAGGUUGAGGCUGCAGUGAGCCA
rnacentral:miRNA from 1 species